rnacentral:sRNA from 1 species
CAUAACCGCAUCAGGUCUCC